rnacentral:sRNA from 1 species
AACGAGGUACAGUUCUGCUUAUGUGUGGCAUUUUCAGUAAAGAAGUUCUGAGUAAAGACGUUGACGUUGAAUACCGCUUCCUUGCCGAACCUUAAAUUAGUGCCUCAUUCAGUAAUGUCUCUGGUUUCUCAGUAAGUAAGCCUCCGGGCGAAUAAAACAAUCUAAGGAAUUUGCAAAAUGGCAAAGAUUAAAGGUCAGGUUAAGUGGUUCAACGAGUCUAAAGGUUUUGGUUUCAUUACUCCUGCUGACGGCAGCAAAGAUGUGUUCGUACACUUCUCUGCAAUCCAGGGUAACGGCUUCAAAACUCUGGCUGAAGGCCAGAACGUUGAGUUCGAAAUUCAGGAUGGCCAGAAAGGUCCAGCUGCAGUUAACGUAACUGCAAUCUGAUUUUGAUCUCAGCCUCAGCGUUGUGGCUGAAUCCAUAACGCCGCUGAAUCUGAAUUGUGAAAGCCCCGUCAUUCGUGACGGGGCUUUUUU